GUCGCUGUUGUUGGUCUGUAGUGUCGGGAUGUCUGGCCGCGGAAAGCAGGGAGGCAAAGUGCGGGCCAAGGCCAAGUCUCGCUCUUCUCGGGCUGGGCUGCAGUUCCCUGUGGGCCGCGUGCACCGCCUGCUGCGCAAGGGGAACUAUGCGGAGCGAGUGGGAGCCGGCGCUCCCGUUUACAUGGCUGCGGUGCUGGAGUACCUCACGGCGGAAAUCUUGGAGCUGGCUGGCAACGCCGCCCGCGACAACAAGAAAACCCGCAUCAUCCCCCGGCACUUGCAGCUGGCCAUCCGCAACGACGAGGAGCUGAACAAGCUGCUGGGCAAAGUCACUAUCGCGCAGGGGGGCGUCCUGCCCAACAUCCAGGCGGUGCUACUGCCCAAGAAAACCGAGAGCCACAAAGCCAAGGGCAAGUGAGCAGGCGGCUACUAUUCGAAUUCACUGAACCCAAAGGCUCUUUUAAGAGCCACCCACAAGUUCGAAAAGAGCUGUUGAUCUCUGGAAACAGUAGAUAAAAGGGGAGAGGAAAGAAGCAUAAGAAGUAAUCAUUCUGAUCGCCGAUGCCUGGACUAUUUCCAUGUCCUGAAUGUUUGGAAUUGACUGGAUGCAAGAUUCUAACAGUCCUACAGACGACUGCCAUCAAGUUGCGUGUAAGGCCUUCACCAGCUCAGCCCAUAAAUCCUGUUUGAUUUACUGUGGAAUGAGCCUCUGCCCCUCCCUGGGCACAGAGCCCCUACCAUGCAGGGAGAACCCGCACCUCCUGCCUUUAGCACCAGAGUCCCGUCCCCCCCCCCGUGACUUCAUUAAAUUCUAGCCUGCCCCUGUUGCACAGAAAAAAACUGGGAGGGACCCUUUGAAGCGCUUGAGUGAGGUGUAACUCAUGUAGUUGUGCUUUCAAAUGGCUCCUGUUUAACCUGAUUUAUCACACGAUGGAUAAUUCUCUGAAGACGUCCUCGCAGUGUGCAGCGGGGGUCAAACAAGCAAACAGGAUGUUAUGAGCCAUUAAAAAGGGGAUAGAAAAUAAGACAGAGAGUAUCUUAUUGCCCUUAUAUAAAUCCAUGGUACGCCCACAUCUUGAAUACUGCGUACAGAUGUGGUCUCCUCAUCUCAAAAAAGAUAUACUGGCAUUAGAAAAGGUUCAGAGAAGGGCAACUAAAAUGAUUAGGGGUUUGGAACGGGUCCCAUAUGAGGAGAGAUUAAAGAGGCUAGGACUUCUCAGCUUGGAAAAGAGACUAGGGGAGGAUAUGAUAGAGGUCUAUAAAAUCAUGAGUGGUGUGGAGAAAGUAGAUAAGGAAAAAUUAUUUACUUAUUCCCAUCAUACAAGAACUAGGGAUCACCAAAUGAAAUUAAUGGGCAGCAGGUUUAAAACAAAUAAAAGGAAGUUCUUCACACAGUGCCCAGUUAACCUGUGGAACUCCUUGCCUGAGGAGGUUGUGAAGGCUAGGACUAUAACAGCGUUUAAAAGAGAACUGGAUAAAUUCAUGGAGGUUAAGUCUAUGAAUGGCUAUUAGCCAGGCUGGGUAAGGAAUGGUGUCCGUAGCCUCUGUCUUUCAGAGGGUGGUGAUGGAUGACAGGAGAGAGAUCACUUGAUGAUUCCCUGUUCUGUUCACUCCCUCUGGGGCACCUGGCAUUGGCCACUGUCGGUAGACAGGAUACUGGGCUAGAUGGACCUUUGGUCUGACCCAGUGCGGCCGUUCUUAUGAAUGUGAUCAGACUAUUAUCAGGAGCAACUGAUCCUGGAGCUAUGUAGCCAGUUGAGGGAAGGACCCCACAGUGGUCUGGUCAUAGACAGUAAGUCCGAAGUUGCACUUGACUUUAUUCCCAUUUCAAACAGAAUAACCCUAAAGAACAGGGUCCAGUCCAGGAAGUGCUGUAGGCACUUAGGCAGGCUGGGUCCGGAGUCACAACCCUUGCAGAGCAUGGGGUGAUCCCAGGACUCUGGAUUGCUUGGUGAAUAGGGAGAAAAAAACAAUGUGCAUUUUAAUACAGACACAGGUAGGAAGAAGGAAUGCAGGCCAUACUUACAGAAUGGGGGACUUUAUCCUGGGAUGCCACGAUGCUAAAGGUGAUUUGGGGGAGGGUCAUGGUGGAUAAUUAGCUGAACAUCUGAUCCUAGUGCAUCACUGUGGCCACCAGUGCGAAUAUGAUCUAUGGAUGUAUAAACAGGGGAAAGUCUAGUCGGGGUAGAGAGGUUCUUUUACCAAUUUGGCUCUGGUGUGACCACUGCUCGAAUAAAUGGACACAAAUCAGACUUCAAGAAUUAUAACAUUCAAAAACCAGUUGGAGAACACUUCAACCUCCCUGGUCACUCGAUUACAAACCUCAAAGUCACAAUUCUCCAACAAAAAAACUUCAAAAACAGACUCCAAGAGACUGCUGAAUUGGAAUUAAUUUGCAAACUCGACACCAUUAAUUUAGGCUUGAAUAAAGACUGGUAGUGGAUGGCUCAUUACACAAAGUAAAACUAUUUCUUCAUGCUUAUUUUUCCCCUACGGUUACUCACACCUUCUUGUCAACUGUUGGAAAUGGGCCAUCCUGAUUAUCACCACAAAAGGUUUUUUUUUCUCCUGCUGAUAAUAGCCCACCUUAACUGAUCACUCUUGUUAUAGUGUGUAUGGCAACACCCAUUUUUUCAUGUUCUCUCUGUGUGUGUAUAUCUUCCUAGUGUAUUUUCCACUGCAUGCAUCCAAUGAAGUGGGUUUUAGCCCACAAAAGCUUAUGCUCAAAUAAAUUUGUUAGUCUCUAAGGUG